rnacentral:tRNA from 1 species
GGUGGGUUGCCGGAGCGGUUACGGAGCGGUCUGCAAAACCGUCUACACGGGUUCGAAUCCCGUACCCACCU